rnacentral:misc_RNA from 1 species
UUGAAAUAAACUUGAUGGGUUGUUGCUGGUUCUCCAGGGAGCAUUGUGCACACCUUGUCAUCUUUAUAUCUCCACCUGUGCACUUUUUGUAGACCUUUUUGGGUCUAUGUUGCCUCAUUUUACCCCAAUGUAUGUCAAUAGAAUGUUGUGCCUAUAUAAUAUAUA